rnacentral:rRNA from 1 species
GCCAGGAGACUACUAGCAAUAGCUUAAAACUCAAAGGACUUGGCGGUGCUUUAUAUCCCUCUAGAGGAGCCUGUUCUAUAAUCGAUAAACCCCGAUAAACCUCACCACCUUUCGCUAAUUCAGUCUAUAUACCGCCAUCUUCAGCAAACAA